GAUGAACGCUGGCGGCGUGCCUAAUACAUGCAAGUCGAGCUAACGGACGAGAAGCUUGCUUCUCUGAUGUUAGCGGCGGACGGGUGAGUAACACUUGGAUAACCUACCUAUAAGACUGGGAUAACUUCGGGAAACCGGAUCUAAUACCGGAUGAUAUUUUGAACCGCAUGGUUCAAAAGUGAAAGACGGUCUUGCUGUCACUUAUAGAUGGAUCCGCGCUGCAUUAGCUAGUUGGUAAGGUAACGGCUUACCAAGGCAACGAUGCAUAGCCGACCUGAGAGGGUGAUCGGCCACACUGGAACUGAGACACGGUCCAGACUCCUACGGGAGGCAGCAGUAGGGAAUCUUCCGCAAUGGGCGAAAGCCUGACGGAGCAACGCCGCGUGAGUGAUGAAGGUCUUCGGAUCGUAAAACUCUGUUAUUAGGGAAGAACAUAUGUGUAAGUAACUGUGCACAUCUUGACGGUACCUAAUCAGAAAGCCACGGCUAACUACGUG
rnacentral:rRNA from 1 species